UAAAAGCUGUUGUCUCUUUCAGUCUGGAAAUGGGGAAGAAGAUUUCCAAUUUAGCUCUCACAGACAGCAGAAUGCAGGAAAAAAAAAAAAAAAGGAGAAAUAAAAUUGAGGAAAACCUACAAUAUUGAGGUUUUAUAUAAGAAAUGUUUAAAAACUUACUUGCUCUACCCCAUUAACAUUAUAAAAGCACAGUGUUGGAAGCCAAUCCAGUAAAGGACUCCUGUCUUCCUCAGAAAUGCCAUCUAUCAGAUUUCCAUCAUAGAACAGGUCGUUGGCUAUGGCACUGAUGGCAGGGUGGCAUCGGUACUGUGUCCGAAGAACUAUUGCUUUAUGUCCCUAAAGAAUUAUGAUACAGGAAGUGUGACAAGGAAAAAGAAUUACUAAAUGUUUUGCAAUGCCAGCUCGGACAAAUAAGAUGUAAGAGGAAGCAAUUGCUGCAGUAAGCUGGCUUAACCUUUGUACACUCACUUUUACUAAAGUCAGAACAAAUACCGUGGCCCCCAAUUCUUCUACCUGGAUGGAAAACUUCACAAAAAGGAGGGAGAAUCUGUCAUUGUUUUUCAGUCCUCCUUGUUUUACAUUUGUUAUGCUUAGAAAUUUCCAAGCACUGUGAAAAUAACCUUUAUGGAGCAAUGUGCUAGAGUGGAAUCUGCUUCAUUAAAAACCAGGCUGAAAUACUGAUCCUCUCACAACUGAACUCUUUCAGUGGCUUCAGUGGACCUGCAGUUCACCCUCCAUUGCUGGUUGUUGGUACAUACCAUCAGACAAAGCCGGUCAAAGAGAGUCUGCUCCAGUCCCUUCUCAUGAACACUCUCAGACCCUUGAAUAGUUGGUGGUAACUGCUUAGGGUCUCCAACAAGGACUAGCUUUUCACACUGAAACCUAAAUAAGAAUGUUAAAAAAUGAGAAAAAAAGUUCUAAAAAUGGAUGCCAAACUAUUCAUGAUGAAAGCACGUGCUGUGUUUAUAUAUCACAGGCUGCUUUCCAUCAAGCUCCCUUCUCCAUCGCCCUCUUUCCGUAUGAAAAUAACUCAAGGCACUGAAGAGCAGGUCUCAAUUUAAAAUCACUCCUCUUGCUUUCCAAGGUGAGACCUCGGAGUUCAUGUUCUUCAAAAGAUGUGCAAGUCUGGCAAUUAUUUGAGGUUUUGCCACUGCUGACUUGAAGUUAUUUCUCUGCUGAAACACAAAAGGAAGGCUGUACCUUGCAAUAGGAAGGAGAGAAGCAGGUUCAGUCAUCUGACUGCACUCAUCCAGAAUCACAACAGGAAACCGAAGAGAAUUCAGACAAGGGAACGGGCAGGCAGCACAGGUCACUCCAACCACUUUCACCUUGGUUAGUAGUGAGGGGAAAACAGGUAGACCAGAAGUUCAGAUCAUUUAAUAGUUAAGCUCUGAGCAGCACAUAACUAUAGCUUCAGCAGUAGAAUACACCUAAACUAAUUUUUAGCAGUUUUGUUACAUGCUGUGUUGUACUUAUGGGUCUCAAAAAAUUAUGUUCUAACUUCCAGUAAAAGGCACUGUGUAUACAUGGAGAUGGAUCCAAGGGCCAGUUCUUGUGCUUGGGGUGUUCAGAAAUUGAGAAGAUGUUUCUACAGGAAGAAGCAGUAAUCUUAAGAGAUCUUGCUAGGACACAACUCUACUUAUGUGAAAUCCUGCAAAAGGCAGAAUGAAAAUUCAAGGAUCAGAAGCUCCGUGCUGGUGGAAUAGUUGUUAUAAUGUCAACAUCAUUAUCAGAGAGACCUCAUCCAGGAAAAGAAUUUUCAGGAAAUGCAUGAAGUAGGUGAGGAAAGCAGCGUUACAAUAGAGUUUAAAAGGAUAUUCCAUUCACAGGGGCAGCUCAAUCAAGCUCAUCUUUUGCGCUACAUUUAAAGUAAGUGAACAUUUACAUAGACAUAAGAAUCUCCCUUUAAGUCUGCCUGGAACUGUACAUGUAUGAUUAAGGAAACAAGACUACUGUUUCAUCACAAUGAAAUAUCCCUAAAUUCUCCCAAGCACUGGCAUUAUAUAUGAAUUAGCAUUUCUGCAAAGUUGCAAUAGUAGCAAAUUUCACAAUUAUUUGCUGUGUACCACGUAUGAUAGUGAUAGGGAGGAUCUGACGUUCUUCCACUGGUUUGGUGUUUUCACAGGAGGUCAUCAUCUGAGCUAUGUGAAGCAGUGAUGUAGCUUGAUCUGGGUUCAACAAGAACGUUUGGAUAAUCUUUUUAGCUAAUCCCAUUGCCACUUCAGUGCUGAUCGGUCCGUACAUUGUUGUGCGUUUCAGGCUGGGGGCAGGUGGAGUAAAUUUGCUUUUCUUGACUCUAUUAGUAGCAUUUUCAGAAUCAAAAUUCCUAAGGAAAAUACAGUGGUCAAAGGUUGUGCUAUAAUACUGCAUAUAUAUAAUUUGUUCAGAUAUUCUUAUAUUCUGAUAGUCAUGGUUCUGAUAUUCUUACUCACCUGACAUGGAAAUGAUCAGGCUUUGUGAUUAACAGUUAAUCAUAAAGCUCAGGCUUUAUGAUUAACUAACGCUGCCCCUUAUUACUUCCCUGGGCAAAAGCUGGAUCACAUGAAACGGGCUUUUGGUUUUUACCAUUCUUGCUCUAUGUUAACACUUUCCAUCUGACUUACUUCAAAGACACAAGACUGACAGAAUUAAGAGCGGUAGAAGAACAUAGUUCGGGUAGCAGGGAUUCAUUUAAUUCCUUGUUUUAUACAGUGAAUCACAAGCAGUAUUGGAAAUACCCCUAUAUUGCUCUGAUUCUCCAAGAAGAUUUUUCAUAUUUAGGUUUUGUGUCAAGGGAUGCUCAACAAUGGGAAGGAAAAACAGUUCCACUGAACCCCUCUAAAGUGUAUUCAUUACCUUGAUACAGAUCAGUCAGUGACUAAUGUUAUAAUAAUGCCUAAUAUUAACGUCUAGGUUGUAAAACAUGGGCUGCAGGUAAGUUUUAAGAAAAAAAACCUCCUACAAAAUUACAAUUUUGAGUUAAGCAACCGAUACAUUUUCUUUUCCAUAUAAAUGAAAAUUGCAUGGUCAACAGUUCCUUGCACUGUUUUUCUGUUUUCAGUUUUCCUCCUCCACUUUUUAAUAGGGCAAACUCAAUGGUGGUUUUGUUGGUGUUUUUUCUGUACCUAUUGGCACACUGUAUGCUUACAGUAUCAUUGAAAGACUAACUUACAUUUUUAGUAGAUGUGGUAUUAGUGGUAACGUAGAUGGAUUGAAGUGCUCCUCCAUAUUUCUUAAAGAUGCAAGCUCACCACUAGCGUUACAAACCAGCAGGGCAUGAACAAACACUGAAAAGGCCACAGAAAGGUAAGAUUAGGAAAAAGUGAAAUUAGCCAAAAUUUUGUAUCAGCUAGAUAAGUGAAUUACAAAAUGCCAAAAGAGGAAUUAGCUUCCUGUAAUACAAACCAAGUUGCUUUAAAGCAUGAUGGUGAAAAUAACUAAUACAGGACAGAUUUGGUUUUCCUGAAUUUUGAAACCCCCAUUUUUUAGCCAUUCUACACUGUAGCAACAAAGGCACAGAAAGAAAGGAUGGAACAGCAAAAUCACAGGUUUAAUACAUGGCCUUUUACAGAAAUUCUCCAUAGUGAGUUGUUCGAGGUUUCUGUUGGUUUGUUCUUCAAGGACAGUGAUAACAUGCUCCUGUUACCUGCACUCCUGACAGUCAAUUUGCAUUCUAUAUUAUAUUAUUUACUGCAUUAUUUAUAUUAUCUCCAUUUCUUCAUCCCCCAUUUAGAAUUUCUUACCAGGCACUUCGCAGGUCUAAUUCCACUAAGUACUGUGUUCAAAUUACAUACUUAAAUAUACAAGGAAAGAAAAUACUGUGAAUACAUCAAUAUAUUAGAUUUGAGAAACUCGAAUCUCAUCCAUCACCAGUGGCCAGAUGUUUCCCUCAGUAGUUGUUUGCCACAAUUCUGAAUUAUUUGGUGUAGAACUCACUAUUCGAUCUCCAGUUUGAAGGACAGUAGCCUUUCAGUGGUAGCAAUUCUAUUUCAUUGGUGGAAGAUGGUCCAAAGAAAGCACUAGUUGCAAUGAAAGUAUCAAGGGGAUCAAAGUUGAGAGUCUUCGAAACAACCCAAAUAUCAUCUGUCAAGAAAAACCCAAACAGAGUUCUCAUGAACUUCUACUGCUGUCUUAUAAAGAAAAUGUAGCUAGAAAGAACAGCUCAGCAUUUACUACACUGCAAAUUAAACCCCUGCUAACAUCAAAGCAGGGGGUAUUAGAAAGUCCUAACUACAUGUUGGUUCAGUUCAGAAAGAGUGAAUAAAUAAUUUGCAAGUCCUCUAGUAGUUACUGUCUGAAAUUGAUGGUGACUGUGAUGUUCUCUCCUGGUGCACUCAGUAACAUUUGACUUCUGACAGGUCUGAAAUAUUCUCAGUUUUGGGAGUAUUUGGAACAAAUCACUGAAUGUCCUCCAACUUUGUGAGAUUUUAAUAAUUGAGAAGAAAUAUGCAACAACUGCUGAAACACCAAUUUUUACAUCAAGUUUUUCCUUAAAUAUAGUCUAUUUGAAUAUUGGUCUUUCCCAAAACUUCACCAUUUAGAUUUAAUACCCUUCAAAGCCAAGGAUAUGGAAUUUAUAUUUCUCUGAGGUAGUUGAACAAGAAAAGAUGAAUGAGAUAGUUCAUUGCCCUUCUAGAAUGAGAACUGCAUUAUCAUGUUUGUCAGGAGUUUAAAAAUAGGAUUUGGUUUUUCUCUUUAGGUGACAAAUUAAAACUUUAAAAAGCACAACAUGACAGGGACAAUUCUUCUGAUGCUUAAGAUUUGCUCACCUUUGCUAUAGAGAGAAUAAUGCUCCUUUCUGCUUAGUUUGAGGUAUAAUUUGGUUUUGGAAUCACCAUCAAAUCUGGCAGGUGUAUUCAUCAAUUUCUUGAACUUACUACAUGGCUGUGUUUGAAUUUCAAAGCCUUUCCUGUUAAAUUGUAAUUUUAGAGUAUGUAAACAAUCAGCACAUUUUGGAUUCACCACCAAAAAUAAGCAAGCUCCACAGAUCGGACCAGAUUAUACAGCACAGACCUUGGUAGUUGUCCAUCAUCUUACAUUACCAAGUUUUAAAUACAUUUAUCUUGCAAAAUACUUCUCUCAUAUACAGCCAGAAUUAAAUUGUUUUCCCUAUAGUUAAGCAGCACAGGAUAGCCUUCAAUAUAACUUCUAACAUUAAAAUUAGAAUCACUAAGAGAAUAAACCAAAUUCUCUUAUGAAAGAUUAAACAAACAGUAAUUCAAAUGCAACAAUCAUAGGGGACUUCAUUAAACAAUUGAUCAGUUGCUGGGAAGAAGCUUUGAUUCUUGCUGAAGAGAGUGCUGACCUGGAUGCUGAGUUCCUUCACUAGUUUGGCUUUGACAUUUCUACACAGAACUGUAAGCCUCUUUUAGCAUAGUUAGUAAAAGUGUCUGUUAAAUGCUAGUGAAUAUACUGGAAUGUUUAUAAAUCCUGCAAUUCACAUAAGCAUAUGUGAAUCAUAGAAUCAACUGGGUUGGAAAAGACCUUUAAGAUGAUCAAGUCCAACUGUUACCCCAGGACUGCCAAGGCCACCACUAAAGCAUGUCACUGAGGGCCUCAUCUAUGCGGUGAAGAGUGCACAGCGUUUCAGAAUACCUCACCAAAAGCUGGCAUUCCUCAUAGAGAGAAAUCUUUUGACUUCUGAGGUAUGUCCCAAUACUUUUUAUAUCAUGAAGCGCUACACUAGGUCUGGAUUUUGUCUGUGCGGGGUUCACAUCUUCUAUCCACUUGAAAAACGAACACUGCUCAGCUUUGGGGGCAUCACACGUAUAGAAUAAACGACCCUGGGAAGGGAGAGGAAAGGA